rnacentral:rRNA from 1 species
GGAGUCUUGGACAAUGGGGGCAACCCUGAUCCAGCCAUGCCGCGUGAGCGAUGAAGGCCCUAGGGUUGUAAAGCUCUUUCACCCGUGAAGAUCAUGACGGUAGCGGGCGAAGAAGCCCCGGCUAACUCCGUGCCAGCAGCCGCUGUAAUACGGAGGGGGCUAGCGUCGUUCGGAAUUACUGGGAGUAAAGCCCGCGUAGGCGGAUGUUCAAGUCGGGGGUGAAAUCCCGGGGCUCAACCCCGGAACUGCCUCCGAUACUGGACGUCUCGAGGACGGGAGAGGCGAGUGGAAUGCCGAGUGUAGAGGUGAAAUUCGUAGAUAUUCGGCGGAACACCCGUGGCGAAGGCGGCUCGCUGGUCCGUUUCUGACGCUGAGGCGCGAAAGCGUGGGGAGCAAAC